GAGGUCUCAAGCGUUGUUCGGAUUCAUUGGGCGUAAAGGGUGCGUAGGCGGCGCGGUAAGUCGGGUGUGAAAUCUCGGAGCUUAACUCCGAAACUGCAUUCGAUACUGCCGUGCUUGAGGACUGGAGAGGAGACUGGAAUUUACGGUGUAGCGGUGAAAUGCGUAGAUAUCGUAAGGAAGACCAGUGGCGAAGGCGGGUCUCUGGACAGUUCCUGACGCUGAGGCACGAAGGUCAGGGGAGCAAACGGGAUUAGAUACCCCGGUAGUCCUGACAGUAAACGGUGCACGUUUGGUGUGGGAGGAUUCGACCCCUUCUGCGCCGGAGCUAACGCGUUAAACGUGCCGCCUGGGGAGUACGGUCGCAAGAUUAAAACUCAAAGAAAUUGACGGGGGCCCGCACAAGCGGUGGAGUAUGUGGCUCAAUUCGAUGCAACGCGAAGAACCUUACCUGGCCUUGACAUGCAUCUCUAAGCGCGUGAAAGCGCGUGAGUCCCGAAAGGGACAAUUUGCACAGGUGCUGCAUGGCUGUCGUCAGCUCGUGUCGUGAGAUGUUGGGUUAAGUCCCGCAACGAGCGCAACCCCUGUGAACUGUUGCCACCGAGCCGUGAGGCUCGAGCACUCUGUUCAGACUGCCCCGCUUUAACGGGGAGGAAGGUGGGGACGACGUCAAGUCAGUAUGGCCCUUACGGCCAGGGCUGCACACGUACUACAAUGCCCAGUACAGAAGGAUCCUAGACCGCGAGGUGGAGGAAAUCACUAAAACUGG
rnacentral:rRNA from 1 species